rfam:Fungal sp. No.14919 DNA, contig: Contig0034.
GCGGGGAUAGCUCAGUUGGGAGAGCGUCAGACUGAAGUUACACUUCAUUCUUGAAAUCUGAAGGUCGUGUGUUCGAUCCGCACUCACCGCA